rnacentral:rRNA from 1 species
GACGAACGCUGGCGGCGUGCUUAACACAUGCAAGUCGAACGGUAAGGCCCUUCGGGGUACACGAGUGGCGAACGGGUGAGUAACACGUGGGUGAUCUGCCCUGCACUUCGGGAUAAGCCUGGGAAACUGGGUCUAAUACCGGAUAGGACCAUGCGCUUAACGGUGUGUGGUGGAAAGCUUUUGCGGUGUGGGAUGGGCCCGCGGCCUAUCAGCUUGUUGGUGGGGUAAUGGUCUACCAAGGCGACGACGGGUAGCCGGCCUGAGAGGGUGACCGGCCACACUGGGACUGAGAUACGGCCCAGACUCCUACGGGAGGCAGCAGUGGGGAAUAUUGCACAAUGGGCGCAAGCCUGAUGCAGCGACGCCGCGUGAGGGAUGACGGCCUUCGGGUUGUAAACCUCUUUCAGUAGGGACGAAGCGCAAGUGACGGUACCUACAGAAGAAGGACCGGCCAACUACGUGCCAGCCGCCGCGGUAA